GAUGAACGCUGGCGGCGUGUCUAACACAUGCAAGUCGAGCGAACGGACGAGAAGCUUGCUUCUCUGAUGUUAGCGGCGGACGUGUGAGUAACACGUGGAUACACUACCUAUAAGACUGGUAUAACUUCGGGAAACCGUAGCUAAUACCGUAUAAUAUUUUGAACCGCAUGGUUCAAAAGUGAAAGACGGUCUUGCUGUCACUUAUAGAUGGAUCCGCGCUGCAUUAGCUAGUUGGUAAGGUAACGACUUACCAAGGCAACGAUGCAUAGCCGACCUGACAGCGCACUCGCUCACACUAGAACCAAGACCCCGUCCAGUCGCCUACGGGAUGCACCAGCAGGGCAUCAUCCGCACUGGGCGCCAGCUUGACCGAGCGACCCCGCGCCAGUGGUCAGGCCUCUCGGUUCGUAAAGCUCUGUUCUGCGCGACGAACAUCUGUGUCAGUCACCGUGCACCUUCUGACGGUACCUAAUAAGAAAGCCACGGCUAAAUACGUG
rnacentral:rRNA from 1 species